UUUUUUUCUAUAAACAUAGCAGUUUCAGAGAAACUGCUAUCUUUAUAUUAGGGUUAAUCCAGCCUCUAGUGGCUGUCUCGUUGACAGCCGCUAGAGACGCUUGCGUGCUUCUCACUGUGAAAAUCACAGUGAGAAGAUGCCAGCGUCCAUAGGAAAGCAUUGUGAAUGCUUUCCUAUGAGACUGGCUGAAUGCGUGCGAGGCUCUUACCGCGCAUGUGCAUUCAGCUGAGGAGGCAGGGAG